rnacentral:rRNA from 1 species
UACGUAUGGAGCGAGCGUUAUCCGGAUUUACUGGGUGUAAAGGGUGCGUAGGCGGCCUGGCAAGUCAGAAGUGAAAUUUAGGGGCUCAACCUUUAAACUGCUUCUGAAACUACCGGGCUAGAGUGCAGGAGAGGAAAGCGGAACUCCACGUGUAGCGGUGAAAUGCGUAGAGAUGUGGAGGAACACCAGUAGCGAAGGCGGCUUUCUGGACUGUAACUGACGCUGAGGCACGAAAGCGUGGGGAGCAAAUAGGAUUAGAUACCCUGGUAGU